UUAUUUAACGGCCGCGGUAUCAUAACCGUGCAAAGGUAGCGCAAUCACUUGCCCCUUAACUAGGGGCCUGUAUGAAUGGCCAACUGAGGGCCCAACUGUCUCCUGUACCUAAUCAAUGAAACUGAUCUUUCAGUACAAAAGCUGAAAUACCCCCACAAGACGAAAAGACCCUGUGGAGCUUUAAGCCUACCCCUACCCAAACAAUAACCCGCCUAAAACACGGAACAUCAUAAUAGUCUCAAGGCUUUAAGUUGGGGCGACUGUGGAGAAAUAAAACCCCUCCAUGAACCUGGGCUAGCCUCCCAAUAUAGGGCUUACAAGCCAAAUAGUACCCAUUAACUGACCCAGUAAUACUGAACAUCGAACCAAGUUACCCCAGGGAUAACAGCGCCAUCCCCCUCAAGAGUCCUUAUCGACAGGGGGGCUUACGACCUCGAUGUUGGAUCAGGACACCCCGGUGGUGAAACCGCUACCAAAGGUUCGUUUGUUCAACGACCAAGGUCCUACGUGAUCUG
rnacentral:rRNA from 1 species